rnacentral:rRNA from 1 species
UACAGAGGGUGCAAGCGUUGUUCGGAUUUACUGGGCGUAAAGCGCGCGUAGGCGGUGUGUCAAGUCGGAUGUGAAACCCAAGGCUUAACCAUGGAAGUGCAUUCGAAACUGACAAACUAGAGUCUCGGAGAGGGUGGCGGAAUUCCAGGUGUAGAGGUGAAAUUCGUAGAUAUCUGGAAGAACAUCAGUGGCGAAGGCGGCCACCUGGACGAAGACUGACGCUGAGGUGCGAAAGCGUGGGGAUCAAACAGG